AGGACUCAGAGAGAAGGCCUCAUCCAUGAAUCAGGAAAAGGCCUUCUCCAGAUACUGAAUCUGCCAUGCCAUAAUAUUGGAUUUCCCAAGCCUCCAGAACUAACAUAAAAGACCCAAAUCAAAAAUUAAAUCCACAGCCAGUGAAUCAAGCGAGCCAUCUCUGCAGCUGAAUAGGCCUUAGGUGAUCUUGGACAGACUCAACUUCCACUCAGUGCUCGGCAAGACAACAGCCAAUGGCCUUGGACAGCCCAGCUGCUGAGGUUUGGUCUCCUACAGCCCCCAUCUGCCAUCUCAUCAUCAGAGUCAUUUGAACCAGAGCAACUCCAUCUUGAAUAGGGGCUGGUUAAAAUAAGGCUGAGAUCUGCUGGGCUGCAUUCCCAGGAGAUUAAGCAUUCUAGUCACAGGAUGAGAUAGGAGGUUGGCACAAGAUACAAGUCACAAAGACCUUGCUGAUAAAAGGUUGUGAUAAAGAAGCCAGCCAAUGCCACCAAAACCAAAAUGGUGAUGAAAGUGCCCUCUGGUUGUCCUUAGUGCUCAUUAUAUGAUAAUUAUAAUACUUUAGCAUGUUAAAAGACACUCCCACCAGCACCAUCACAGUUUACAAAUACCAUGGCAACAUCUGGAAGUUACCCUAUAUGGUCUAAAAAGGGGAGAAACUCUCAGUUCCAGGAAUUCCCCACCUCUUUUUCCCAAAACUCAAAAACAACCCACCCCUUGUUUAGCAUAUAAUCAAGAAAUGACCGUAAAAAUAGCCUACCAGCAGUCCUCGGGGCUGCUCCGUCAAUGGAGUCGCCAUUCUUUUAUUCCUUUACUUUCUUAAUAAACUUACUUUCACUUUAUGGACUCACCCCAAAUUUUUUCUUGCACAAGAUCCAAUAACUCUCUCUUGGGGUCUGGAUCAGGACCCCUUUCAGGGCACAUCAUCACCAUUCAGGAGGGUCAGUCCAUUCACAUUUCCAGUCCCCACUCCAACUGGCUGCCAGCCAGAAAAGAGCUCCC